CCUGAGAGCUCAGUCAGACAGUCAGUCAGAGUCAGACUCAGCUGCGGGAGUACAUUCACUCUUCAGUCCUCUCCACGCCUUCCUCCACCCGCCACCGUGCUCCCCUCCGUCCGUGCCUGGCUAUUCUCCGCAACCAUGGCCCGCCUUAAGAUCCACAUCGUCUACUGCGGCGCAUGAGGCUACGCCUCGAAGUUCCGCCAGCUGAAGGAACAGCUGGAGGCGGAAUUUCCUGACAAGCUGGAGAUUACGGGCGAGGGGACCCCCACGACCACUGGUUAUCUGGAGGUCACCGUGGUAGACAAACUCGUCCACUCCAAGAAGAACGGGGAUGGCUUCGUGGACUCGGAGAAGAAGUACAACAAGAUAUCAGAUGCCGUCAGUGCCGCUCUUGAUACAGCGGACUGACAUGACCUUCUGAUGACCUGAUCUCUGCUCCCCCAGCUUUGACCUCACCCCCCCUUACCCAGCAUGCCCCCAAAAGCCCCCUGCAUAGUGAAACUGUAGCCCCAAAGCCCCUUGAGGGAAUGGCAAUGGUGGAAGGGAUUAGGGAGUUUUUAUGUGUGGGGGCAGCUGGUGGAGGGAGCGGCAAGGUGGUUGAGGGGCCGAGGGAUGGAAAUGGAAGAAAGGAUGGAGGGAAAGGUUAAAAGUGAGCUUAGUGUGUCUUCUUUUUCUUUAUCUACUUUCUUCUUCAUUGCUGUCUUUGUUUUAUCAUGUGUCUUACUUUUCCUUGAACUGCUUCUCUUUUCUUAAUUUUUCUAGUUUUUUCUUCUCUUUCUUAAUUUCUUUCUUUCUGUUCCUUAAUUUCCUUUCUUGCUUUGUUUGAUCAUCUGUCUUUCUGUCUUUCCUCCUCCUUGAUCUGUUUCUCUUCUUAUUUUUCUUUUUUCUUCUCUUUUUCUUAAUUUCUUUCUUUCUGUUCCUUAAUUUCCUUUCUUGCUUUGUUUGAUCAUGUGUCUUUUUCCUCCUCCUCGAUCUGUUUCUCUUUUCUUAAUUUUUCUUGUUUCUUUUUCUUAAUUUACUUGUUUCAUUGUUGCUGUUCAUGCAUUUCUAUCCCAUAAUUUCCUUUCUUUCUUUCUUUUUUCUCGUCCUUACUCUUUCUCUCCUUUCUCAAUUUGCUUAUUUUUCUUUUCUUCACAAUUUCCUUCUUUCCCUCCGAUUUUGAUUUUCCUUUCAGACUCAUUUUUAUUUUGUCUAGUUUUCAUUUUUUGUCUGUAUCUUAAUUUAAUGCCAUACUUUUUUUCUUCUCCUUCCUUUCCUCCUUUUUAUUUUAGUAUAUAAAUAUAAACAUUCAACGUUAUUAUUAUUGAGGCACAUCUAAGUAAUAAAAUAUCUUUCUAUGCAUUUUCCAUUAUACAUGUUUUAUUUUUUUCAUUGGUAGUCUGUUUUGAGAAGAUAUUAAUGGUUUUGUGUAUGAUCUGUGCUCUCUAUUAUUAUUACUAUUAGUAGUAGUAGUAGUAGUAGCAGCAUUUUUAUUAUUCAUUAUUAUUUUUAUUAUGAUGAUUUAGAAGUUCUCUGUGGAAAAGUUAAUCAAAGGAAAUUCAAAAUGUUAUAACUGUUUCAAUGAUUAUUUUCAGCAUUAUUACUGUAUUGUUUUUACUUUGGUGUUAGUUUCAGGAAUGAUUUAUAGGUCACAAAUACAGCAAGUGCAAUUAAA